UGUAUGCUGCCUAUAACCCAGCAAACAAUUAGGUUUGAUAUACAUUUGAGAAUGAUUUGAAAUCAAAGCCUUUAUCAAAUGUCAAACGUUUGAAAGUGAUUUGAUAUUGAUUUGAAAAUUACAGCUUUCUCAAUAAAAAGGGGAGUUUGAUCUCCAUUUGAUAAUAUGGUUAACUCUCAAAUCAAUUUCAAAGGUUAUUUAUCAAAUGUACUUCAAAUGUGGAAAUAAAAUUUAUAA